UUUUUUUUUUUUUUUUUUAAGUAAGUAUGAAGGCUGAAGUGAUUUACUGUUUUUCUAAUUCUAGGGCACUAAAAAUGGCUACUUUUAUCUUUUGACAUCACUGGUCAGUAAAGGAAAGUGAACUCUAAGAAUGAAAGAUUUGGAAGGAAAAAAGAACUCAAAGGACCACAACUUUCAAUUAUAAUUGAUAAGAGAAAUUGUAUCCUCUUCUAAUAGCCUCCCAAUUAAAAUCACACAAUCUACCAAUCUUUAAUCCCAACUACCUAAUAUAUCUUAAGGAAUUAGGUAUAAAGAACUCAUAUAGCUUAAAUGAUAUACUACUUUGUUGUAGAAUACAGGCAUUUUUCCCUUUUUUACUAAUGUCAGGUAAUACCAAUUACCUGGUUGGAGGAGUCACUAUUAUAGAUUUUCUUUCUUAUUUCAAGAGUUUUAAAAAGUCUUAUUUAUUUUAUUUUUAGUAAUAAAAAGGGAACAAAUUUCAUGUAUUUAAGAGUAUAAGGAUACUUCCAACCCUACCCUCCCUCUCUUAUUCCUACUUUUUCCCCUUCUUAUUUUUCUUUUAGUUUUUACAAUGACCUAACUUUCAAUUUUCUUUAUAAUAACAAGCUUAACCCACUAAAUAAAGAAUUCAACAAGUAAUAGCAGAAAAAUCACUGGUCAUCAAGAGUAUAAACAAGGGCUAUAAACAAUGACCAAAUCUCAAAAUGUCAAUUUUUCUCAAAUCCAUUACCUUUUUUUUGUACUCUAUGUAUUAGUUACUACAAACAGGGGAAAUAUAUGAUAUCUGUCUUUUGGGGACUGGCUUAUUUCACUAAGCAUAAUGGUCUCCAGUUGUGUCCAUUUUUUUGAAAGACAGGAAGAUUUCAUUCCUUUUUAUGGCUGAGUAGUACUCCAUCAUGUAUAUAUACCAUAUCAAGUCAUCAGUUGAUGGACAUCUGGGUUGGUUUCACAUCUUAGCCAUUGUGAAUUAAAGCUGCUAUAAAUGUUGGGGGCGGGGGGGUACAGAAAACCCUUUCAUGUGCUGAUUUCAUUUCCUUUGGGUAAAUUCCCAAGAGUGGAAUGGCUGAAUCAUAUGGUAGGUCUACAUUCAGAUUUCUUAGGAAUCUCCAUACUGUCUUCCAUGAUAGUUGUACUAGUUUACAUUCACACCAACUGUGUAUUAGGGUACCUUUUCCCCCAUAUCCUUGCCAGAAUUUGUUAUUUUUUGAUUUUUGGAUGACAGGCAUUCUAACUGGUGAGAGGUGAAAUCUCAUUGUGGUUUUUAUCUGUAUUUCCUUGAUGUCUAGUGAUGCUGAGCAUCUUUCCAUGUGUCUGUUGGCCACUUUUUUUUUUUUUUUUUUUUUUUUUUUUUUUUGGACAGGCAGAGUUAGACAGUGAGAGAGAGAGAGAGAGAGAGAGAGAGAGAAAGGUCUUCCUUCCAUUGGUUCACCCCCCAAAUGGCCACUACGGCCGGCGCUGCACCGAUCCGAAGCCAGGAGCCAGAUGCUUCUUCCUGGUCUUCAACGCAGGUGCAGGGCCCAAGCACUUGGGCGAUCCUCCACUGCCUUCCCGGGCCACAGCAGAGAGCUGGAAUGGAAAAGGAGCAACCGGGACAGACCCCGAUGCCCCAACUGGGACUAGAACCCGGAGUGCCAACGCCACAGGCAGAGGAUUAGCCAAGUGAGCCACAGCGCCGGCCCAUAUUUCAUACUUUGAAAAAUUCCUGAUCAUAUCCUUUGCCCAUUUCUUAACUGGACUGCUUGUUUUGCUGUUACUGAGUUUCCUGAGCUCCUUAUAUAUUCUGGAUAUUAAUCUUUUUACAGCUGUAUAAUUUGCAAAUAUUUUCUCUCAUCCUGUAGACUGCCUCUUUACUUUGCUGAGUGUUUCCUUUGCUGUGAAGAAGCUUCUUAGCUUGAUGUAAUCCCAUUUGUCUAUUUUUGUUUUAAUUGCCUGUGCUGCUAGGGUUUUAUCCAAGAAAUCUCUCCAUGCAAAUGUCUUGCAGUAUUUCCCUCUAGUAGUUUGAUGGCUUCAGGUCUCAGAUUUAGAUCCCUGCUCCAUUGUGACUUGAUUUUUGAACAGGGUUUAAGGUAGGGAUCUUGUUUAGUACUUCUGUAUGCAGAGAUCCAAUUUUCUCAACACCAUUUGUUGAAGAGACUGUUCUUUCUGCAGAGACUGAUUAUGGCCUAUGGGUGAAAUAUUAGUUGGUUGCAGAUGCAUGGAUUGAUUUCUGGGAUCUCUAGUCUGCUACACUGGUCAAUGAGUCAAUUCUUGUGCCAGUACCAAGCUGUUUUGAUUAUAACUUCCCUGUAAUAUUUUGUUAAGAUUUAUUUAUUUAUUUAUCUGAGAAACAGAGAUACAGAGAGAAGGAGAGACAGAGGGAGAGAGAGGUCUUCCAUUCACUGAUUCAAUCCCCAAAUGGCCGCAACAGCCAGAGCUGGGCCAGUCUGAAGCCAGGAGCCAGGAGCCUCUUCUGGGUCUCCCACAUGGGUGCAGGGGCCCAAGCACUUGGGCCAUCAUCCACUGCCUUCCCAGGCUAUUAGUAGAGAGCUGGAUUGGAAGAGCAGCAGCUAGGACACAACUGGUGCCCAUAUGGGAUGCUGGUGCUACAGGCAAAGUUUUAACUUACUACGCCACAGCUCCAGCUCCCUGCAAUAUGUGUUGAAAUCAGGUAUUCUGAUGCUUCCAGCUUUAUUUUUAUUGUUUUGGAUUGCUUUAGCUAUGCAGGGUCUCUUGUGAUUCCAGAUGAAUUUUAGGGUCAUUUUUUCCAGAUCUGAGAAGAACGUCUUUGGUGUUUUGAUUGGGAUUGCACUGAAUCUGUAAAUUGCUUUGGGUUGUAUGAACAUUUUGAUAUUAAUUCUUCCAAUCCAAGAAUAUGGAAGAUUUUUCAUUUUUUGGUGUCUUUUUUUCCCUUAAAAUUUUGUAAUUUUCACUGUAGAGAUCUUUCAUAUCCUUCAUUAAAUUUAUCCCAAGGUAUUCAAUUUUUUUUGUAGUUACUAUGAAUGGGACUGAUCUUAUAAGUUCUUUCUCAGCCACGGCAUUGUUUGUGUAUACAAAGGUUACUGAUUUUUGAGUGCUGAUUUUAUAUCUUGCAACUUUGCCAAACUCUCUUAUAAGUUCUAAUAAUCUCUUAGUGUACCCUUUAGUUCCCCUAUGUACAGGAUCAUGUCAUCUACAUACAGAAUAAUAUGGCUUCCCCCUUUCCCAUUUGUAUCCUUUUUAGUUCUUUUUCUUCUCUAAUGGCUCUGGCUAAGACUUCCAGAACUAUACUGAACUGUAAUGAUGAGAGUGAGCAUCCUUGUCUGGUUCUGGAUCUUAGUGCAAAUGCUUCCAGUUUUUACCCAUUCAAUAUGAUACUGACUGUGGAUCUGUCAUAUAUUGCCUUGAUUGUGUUGAGGCACCAACUUGAGUCCUGGCUGCUCCACUUUUGAUCCAGCUCCCUGCUAACAUACAUGGAAAAGCAGCAGCAGAUGACUCAAGUAGCUGGGCCCCUGCAUCCACAUGGCAGACCCGGAAGAAGUUCCUGGCUCUUAGUUUCGGCCUGGCCCAGCCCUGGGCGUUGCUGCCAUUUGCAGAAUGAACCAUCAGAUGGAAGAUCUCUCUCUCUCUUUCUGCCUUUUCCUCUCUCUCUGUAACUCUUUCAAAUAAAUAAAUAAAUCUUAAAAAAAAAAAAAAAAACAACUAUAAUAGUCCAGGCAAAAGUGGUGGGUCAGUAACACUGGGAGUAGGGAUAAUGGAGCGAACUAGAAAAACUGGUAGAAUAGAAGCUUUGAACUAACUGCAAGUUGAGAACUAGAGAGAGAUAGCUCUAUCAAUGAAGCAGCAAGGGGAAUGAUGCACUAAUAAUCACUCUUGAUUAAAUCACUCUCUGUCCACAUACAUGAUUUAGCUCACAAAGAGACCACACAGGAAAAAGCAGUAUAAAGUGGUUUGACAGUUAUGAUUCUAAAAUCAUACAGCCCUUUUUAAAAUUCUGGCUGUUCGGGACGGCGCCGCAGCUCACUAGGCUAAUCCCCCGCCUUGUGGCGCCGGCACACCAGGUUCUAGUCCCGGUCGGGGCGCCAGAUUCUGUCCCACUGCCCCUCUUCCAGGCCAGCUCUCUGCUGUGGCCCGGGAAGGCAGAGGAGGAUGGCCCAAGUGCUUGGGCCCUGCACCCCAUGGGAGACCAGAAUAAGUACCUGGCUCCUGCCAUUGGAUCAGCGUGGUGUGCCAGCCGCAGCACACUGGCCGCGGCAGCCAUUGGAGGGUGAACCAAUGGCAAAGGAAGACCUUUCUCUCUGUCUCUCUCUCUGUCCACUCUGCUUGUCAAAAAAAAAAAAAAAAAAAAUCUGGCUGCUCCACUAAUCAAAUAUGUGGUCUUGAACAAAUAAAUUCAUUACUAUAAGCCUCAUAUUCUUCAUCUAUGAAAUGAGUAUAUUAACACUUGCCUCACAGAACUGCAGAAAGGAGUGAAUGAGGUAAUGCAUGCAGAAAACACUAAGUAGAGGCAUGGCAUGUGGUAUGGGCUAACCUUAUCACUGUUUGAAAGGCAUGGAACAUGUAAUACUAUUCCAUCUCCUUCACAAUAUAAAAGUAUGAAAUAUUCAAAUAUUUUUAACUUGAAAAACAAAAUCAAGACAUGAUCUUAAAUAAGGCCAUACAUGGUAUUCUAUUUUUAUAUGCCCACUGCUAUGGGUACUAACAAGCAACAGUGAUAACAUCUUUGUUUUUCUCUGAUUGCCCUCUAGUGGUGAUUCUGACACUUAAAAAAAAAAGGAAACAACAUAAGUAAUAAGAGAUCAGGAUAGAUAACAACUAUCAAAACAAACAUCAAAAUUGGGGCCAGCAUUGUAGCAUAGCAGGUUAAACCACUGCUUGUGAUGCUGGCGUCCUGUUUCAGAAUGUCUGGUAAGUACCAGCUGCUCUGCUUCUAAUCCAGCUUCUGAUAAUGGACCUGGGAAAGCAGCUGAAGAUUGUCCAAAUUCUUGGACCUCUGUCACCCAUCUAGGAGACCAAAUGGAGUUCCCACCUCAUAGUUCAGCCUGGCCCAACCUCUGCUGUUGCAGCCAUUUAUAGCUGAAUGAGAAGUAAGAGCUCUCUUUCCCUGUCUCUUCUUCUCUCUGUCGUUCUGUUUUUCACAUAAAUAAAUCGUUAAAAAAUAAACAAACAUCAAAGUGAACAUUUCCCUCAGAUAUGUAAGUGUGAUUGAAUAUUUGUUCCAAAAAAAUGAGUAUACAGAAAUCUCUAGGUUAAGCAAAGCUAAGCAUUUUCCUUUUUUUGUGGGCCUCUGGAGACCAUCUAUGAAUAAUGUGACUCUCUAAAAGUUCUCAAACUUUAAUCAGCAAACACAUUUUUCAGUGGAACACCUAUUAUUUUGACAAUGAUUGGAGGACAUCUACACUAGGAGUUUACAUAACUAAUUACAGAAUUAAUAAUGAACUAGGUAACAGUAUUUAUUUAGUAACAAGUUUUAAAAGUAAUUACCAUGAAGAUGUAUAACAUAGGAGGACAUCUUGAGAAUGAGCUUGAAGAAACAUCAAUCUCCAAACGGAAUGCAUUUUAAUUAAACCUUUAAAGAUUUGUAUCUACAUUUAACAUUUAAGUAAUCAUUUUAUAAUACUUGUAUUACUUUAACAACUCUCAAAACUCUCAUAUAAAACUAAUCCACUAAAUGAAGGUAUAAUGUCCACAAAUGUUUAAAAUGGCUUAAAAUAUUAAAAUAAACUAAAAUCACUUCCUCACCUGUUUCAGCAAAAAAGAGAACCAGUAAUAGGAAAAUAUUUUUAAAGUACACAAAAAAUAGCAAAAGAUGACCUCUUUACCUGGGAUUUCCUCUUAGAGCAGCAUGGUGUAGAGCAUUAAAUCCAUUAUUGUUUGUAAUGGUAACAUCUGCUCCAGCUUCCAAAAGAACUGCCAGGAUAUCAUCACGUUUCUUACUUAUUGCAUCAUGGAGAGGGGUAUCACCUUCAGAAUCCUUUUUUGUUGUUGUUAAGUUUAAAGAGAUAUUCAUUAGUUCUUCUUAAACUAAUCACCACAUCUCAUAGCAAAACUGAAUUACUCAACAGAAAAAAGUAAACAGAGGCCAAAUCCAACAAUAAUUAAAAAAAGAUCAUGCUCUGGAUUAAAUAGGAGCAUUAAUUCAAAAAGUUCACAGAAAAAGGGAACUAAAACAUAAGUUUAUUUGGGCACAAGGAAUUCUGAAAUCCAUGCAUGGCUUUUUCAUAAUAUGCUUUCCAUAAAGUUGUUAAAACCCUUCCUAAGAAAAUGCAGGUAAGACACACUAGCCACAUUAAAUAGGCAUACUCAAAUCUAGAUGGAAAACACAAUAAACACGUUGUAGUUUUCCAAAUAAGAAAAUAAAUGUUAACUUGAAAUAUAAUUCACCUAAAAAAAUUAAUAAGGUGAAAAAGCUGCCAAAAAGAUGUAAUAAAUUUUAAAUGGCUUGCUACACCUUAUUUCUACCACUAAUGAUUGUACCCUGAAAUUCCAUCCAAACCUACACCAGGCUCAGGCCCCAUAACAACAAUAAAUUAAAAGUGAUUUUCAACUUAGCUGUACAUUAGACUCCAUUGGGGAGCUCUUAAAAGUCCUUAUGCUCAGGCUGUUCUCCAGAUCGACUAAAUUUCUAGAGGUGAGAGCCAAGUACCAAUAGUAUUUCAGAGCUCCCCAGAUGAAUAUAUUACAAAGUUAGAGAACCAUCAACCUAUAUGUUUUCAAAGAGCAGAAAAGUGGCUAAUUAGAUCAAAGUAAAAACAAACUGAAGUGAAAAUUUAGUAUUUUCAGACUACUUUUUUUGAAGCUAUUUUUUACAUUAACAAUUGAUUUACCUACUCACCAGCCAUUUGCAUAAAUGAGUAAUUUAGACUUCACUGAAUUCAUAGUUUCGUAGAUGUUACUGUCAGUAAAGUCUGAGAUAGCCUGUCCUGAGGCAUAUAGCACACUUGCCAGAUCAGUUUGCCACCUGUUUUUGUAAAUUAAGUUUUCAGUGGAACACAGACACACCAUUCAUUUAUGUACUAUCUAUGGCUGGUUCACUCUAUAAAGGCAGAGCUGGACAGUUGUGAUAUAUGAAAAUUUACAAUAUUGUCUUGUUACAGAAAAUGUAUGCCAAUCAUAGGCAUAUAUUCAUUCACCAACAGAAGGAAUUCUUAACCUCAAUGCAACCCAAUCAUCCACCUUCCAAAUUCCUGUUAAUCUUACAGCAUUAAAAACUUUUAUCUUUGGGGCUGGUGUUGUGGCACAGCAAGUUAAGUUACCACCUGUGGCUCCAGUAUCCCACAUGAAUUCUGGCUGUGCCACAACAAAUCCAGCUCCCUGCUAAUGAACCUGGAAAAGCAGAAGAUGGCCAAAGUGUGUGGGCCCAUGCCAUCCAUGUGGGAGAACUAGAAGAAACUUCAGACUUCUGGUUUCAGUCUAGCCCAACUCUAGCCAUUGUGGCCACUUGGGGAGUGAACCAGGGCAUGUUAAGAUCUAUUUCUCCCUUUCUCUCUACAAUUCUGCCUUUCAAAUAAAUAAAUAUGUUUUUAAAACAAAACAACCAAAAAAAAGUGUAUGUUCACCUUGAGAGGGGCUCUUGACAUUACUGGAAUACCCUUCUACAGGUUCCUGGUCUGUUGUGCCUCGGGUCCUCACAGUAGUUAUUCCAAACCUUUCUCAUUCUUCUCAAUCAUUCUACACUCUCAACACAUAACCUUGACUCUCAUUUCAGACAAAAAGAUCAAAAGGUAUAAAUUCCCUCUCCAUUGACAGAUUAAUACCCCAAUUCUCCCAUUCUCCAAGCCUGACACUCAUUAAUAAUGUCAUACACUAGACCCUGUCAGUUCCAGAAUGGUUAUACGUGAGAAACAUUGGUUCCUAAUAAUUAUCCAGCUUAGCAAAAUCUAUUCUUACAGUUCUUCUCAAACCCUCACUCUUAUUAUCUUGUUAUUUUUUUGUUAUAUCUCUGAGAUCUAUCCAAUCCAAUUCUUGGUUACUAUGAAUUAUCCAAACUACAGGCGGCUUAAAGUUCUAAUCCACUUUUUGUUUUAAUCAUUAGCUUUCUCUUUUAUACAAUGUAUUUUUUAAAUAUUCGAACAGUGUUUCAGGUAAUGUUUUUAUUUAAAAAUAACAUGCUAUUUCAAGCCUAUUCUGUUAAAGAUGAUCAUAAUAGAUAACAGUCUAAAAAUAGAACCUGAAAGUUAGCAAAUUAUGUUCUUGUGCUAUUUUAUUUUGCUAUGAAAUCAUUACAUAUCCAUACCAAUUUUGAGUUUUGACAGGUAGACAAAAGACAAGCUGUUUAGUAACCAAACUAUAAAUGAUGGACACAGAUUACACUUCCCUUAAAUAAAUGGCUUAACUCAUCUGGUGGCUAACACAGUGGUUAAGAAGACUCUGAGAAUUUUUAUGUGAUGAUCUUUGUUUCAAAAAUUAUGUCCUAUUGUAAAUCACUCUAAAACCCUAUAUAUUUGCCAAACCAGAAAAGCUACCAAGACUGAGGACUAGACCAAGACCCAAAGAAACAUUAAGCUAUGAUUAAAAUAAUUUAGAUAGCUAUGAAGUAACUUUUAUGAAAUACAGUCUGUUACACUUCUUUAAGCUGCCAAAACUCACUGUCAUGAUCAAUAGGGUUAAAUCAAAUGCAUUUAUAAACUAGUAUUUUUGACAGGAAACCCCACUUCCAUGGCACUCCACCCCCUACUCUGAACCAAAUCUACUGACAGUUUCUAGAAAAAAGAAGGUUUUCUAAGAAGGAAGAGCUGCCAAUUUUGUAACUUUCUUUAUCUUUGGUGUGCUUAGGAUAGACCUUAGUGCUCCCCUUUAAUGGGAACCUAGCAAUACUUGCAAAAUAUACAUAAAGAUUUUACCUGGAGACUGGGAUGACAACCAAAGUCCAAUAAAGUCUUCACUACUUGAAGAUGACCUUUAUUAACAGCAAUAUGAAGUGGUGUCUGCCGGCGUUUGUUGCGGGCAUUCAAAUCAGCACUGCCUCGGUGUAGUACUUCUAUAACAGCACCUUCAUCUCCAAAGGCUGCAUGGUGAACUGCUCUAUCUCCAUCUUUAUCCUAAACAUUAGUAUUUAAAUUUGAAUUAGUGAAUAUUUUAGAAGAAAAAACAAAACUAUAAUAAUAUACCAAGAACCAGAUUAAUUUGAGAAAAAUAAACAAAGUAGAGCCAACAAAGUAACCAGAACAGUGAUUAAUUCCAAAGAUAAAUGAUAAGCCUAGACCAAUAUAUUAUCAGACCAAUAGCUAUAUUUACUAGACUAAUAGUUACAUCAUAUAAACUACAUGUAGUUAAAUCAUUACUCUGGCCCCCUGAAUUUGUUACAGAUAACCAAUGAGAAUUUUAAGGGACAAGGUUACAGAAGACCUUCACAAGGUUAUCUCAAAGAAUUUAUAAAGGGACUUAUACUAAAGCUAACACUGAUCUUGACUCUAUUUUUCUCUCCCCCCUAUUCUUCCUCCCAAUUCUCCAAAAUCUGAUCUUGUUCCAAUAUUCCCUCUUAGCUGAUGGAACCACAGGUGAUAUGGUCAACAAAAUCAUUAUCCCUAACUCAUACUCAUCUACACUCUUUUUGAGUCCUCUAUUACACAGUCACCAAAUUCUAUAGCUUUUUUAAA